rnacentral:rRNA from 1 species
UGGGAACGUACCUUCGGUUCGGAACAACCCAGGGAAACUUGGGCUAAUACCGAAUACGUCCGUAAGGAGAAAGAUUUAUCGCCGAAGGAUCGGCCCGCGUCUGAUUAGCUAGUUGGUGGGUAAUGGCCCACCAAGGCGACGAUCAGUAGCUGGUCUGAGAGGAUGAUCAGCCACACUGGGACUGAGACACGGCCCAGACUCCUACGGGAGGCAG